rnacentral:rRNA from 1 species
GGGUCAGUAGGUUGGUCGUGCCACCGGUACGUACUGGUCUCACUGAUUCCUCCUUCCUGAAGAACCGUAAUGCCAUUAAUUUGGUGUUGCGGGGAAACAGGACUGUUACUUUGAAAAAAUUAGAGUGUUUAAAGCAAGCUAACGCUUGAAUACAUUAGCAUGGAAUAAUGAAAUAGGACGAUCGAUCCUAUUUUGUUGGUUUCUAGGAUUGACGUAACGAUUAAUAGGGAUAGUUA